rnacentral:rRNA from 1 species
CUCCGCCCUGUUUUACAAAAACAUGGUCUUUUGUAUAUAUAAAAGAUUUAGCCUGCUCAAUGAUUUUUUUAUUAAAUAGCUGCAGUAUUUUGACUGUACAAAGGUAGCAUAAUCAUUUGUUUUUUAAUUGGAAACUGGUAUGAAUGGUUAGAUGAAAAAUAUACUUUCUUUAUUUUAUAUGAAGAAUUUAAUUUUUUAGUUAAAAAGCUAAAAUUUAUUUGAAAGACGAGAAGACCCUAUAGAAUUUUAAUAUAUAUAGAUAGUAUUUUUUAAUUAAAAAAUACUACCUAGAUAAUAUUUUUGUUGGGGUGAUGGAAAGAACUUUUUAACUUUUUUUAUUUUUUAUAUUUAUGUAUAUUUAUAUGAUCCUUUAAUAUGGAUAAUAAGAUUAAAUUACCUUAGGGAUAACAGCGUUAUUUUUUUGGAGAGUUCAUAUCGAUAAAAAAGUUUGCGACCUCGAUGUUGGAUUAAAAUUAGUUGCAGAAGUAGCAUAUUGUAAACUGGGUCUGUUCGACCUUUAAUUUUUUACAUGAUCUGAGUUCAACCGG